rnacentral:tRNA from 1 species
GCGGGUGUAACUCAGUUGGUAGAGUGCUAGCCUUCCAAGCUAGUUGUCGCCGGUUCGAACCCGGUCGCCCGCUCCA